rnacentral:tRNA from 1 species
AAGGUUUUAAGUUAAUUAAAACUAAUAGCCUUCAAAGCUAUAAAUAUAAGAAAAUCUUUUAAACCUUA